rnacentral:misc_RNA from 1 species
GGCAAAGACCACAGCUCGCAGCCAUGAAGUUUAACACUAUUUGGGGAUUACAACCUCCAACCAAGACAACAGUAUGCAUCAAACAAGAUGCUGGAAAAAUAAACACACAAAAUUUCAACCAUACACUAGAUAACACUUCAAACUUUUAUUAGAUCUUGCAAGAGCAAGCCACAAAUUCUUCACUGCAACACCAAACAAUCUGGAGUAAUAUGUGAGGCCACUUGCGGACCAGGAGAAUCUGGAAUUUCCUUCUCUGGAUUGAUAUUUUCAUCCUCAUCAGCUAGUAAAUCAGCUGCUUCAGAAAUAUAGCCCUUUACUUCUUCAAAUCUCUCCUCCGAUAUGGAAACCUCAGAAAGAAGUUUCCAUGCAUAUUCCUCUGAUGCAUCAUUGUAAUCCUUUGUUCGCUUAAGCACUAUAUGUCCACUAAUUUCCCAUACAGCAGGGUUCACCUGAGUGUCCAGGAGCUCUUGGUCUACAACUCCUAGUGCUUGCUUCUCUGCAUAACACUGGGGAAGCAGAAAAAUCUUCUUUCCACACUGAGCAAUGAGAAUGUUGAAAGGGAUGUUUUUAUUCUGAAGGGAAAUGCAGGAAUUCACAACAGCAUCAGACAAAUCACGGGCAGUACUUCCAUUUCCUCCCUCAAAAGCAAAACCUCGUACGGGGUAAUUUAAUAACUUAGAUACAAUCACUCCAGCACCACCCAGCCCCUUCCUUGCCAGUAUUUUCUGUAUUGGUGCUUUCUCAACUGGAAAUGGCACUGACAAGUAAUACGCCUGGAAGUGGAGGUGGUUAAUGGUAGCAAAAGCGCCCAAACUGUUAUAACCUACCCUAAAGAAAGGAUCUGCCACUUCUCUGGCAAAAUGGAGAGCAAUUGCAAAACUAUCACGAUCAAUUCUCUGAGGUAAGCAAUCAAGAACUCGAGGUAUCAAAAGCACGUGACCAUACUCAAUUGGGCUCACAUUGAUAGCAACAAUACUAGGUGAAAUACCACUGUUUACUCGCAUGCCCGAAAAGUAAUGGGCCUUGUAGUCGGUACUUGGUUCAAACCUGAAAAGCACUUCUUCCUGGCCCACUUUGGUAAAGUUGAAUUUGUUCUCGUCAAAAGGCUGAAGAACCUUAUCAAUGCAAAACUCUGUUGGGCGCUUCUUUAGGUGGCGCCCCUCAUUCAGCUGCGCAAUAAAACCACAUCUCCCAGGAAUGACCUUCGUCUCACAGGUUGUCACAUCAUAUCGAAAUAGUCCCUGGCUCAUCCGCUCCUCCCAUAAGCCCAACAACAAAUCGUUCAAGAAUGACAUCUGACACUCCUCCUCAGGCAAGGUUUGAACAUCAUUUUCAAUUGGCUCAUUAUCAUCAUUCUUGAAUGCAUAUAGAGGAAGUACUGAAACAGGCAUGCAGCAUUUUCCGAGGCACUUGCGGCCACAACCCAUGACGUUACCUUCGAGAACAUCCUCUUGAUAGUUGGAAACCAGUGUAGGCACCCUCUUUACAGUCAACAUCGGUCCUGUUCUUGGAUGGAUGAUCAAAAAUACAACUCUUAUACGAAAAAUUAGGAGAAGGAAAAAGAGAAAGGAAGAAUUGGACCGCCGCCGGCGAGGAAGAGGAGAUCGGAGGGGCAACCGCCUUCAGCGGGUGAGGCACCCCUACCUCCGUGAGGGGAAGGGGUCCGGUGCUUAUCGUCCACCAGAAGAGUUGGAUUUAGGGUCAACACUUUGCGGUGAUGAUGAAUUGUGAGAAUACAAACGAAAGAUUCAAGAAGAGCCGUGAUUGAAUUUGUAGGAUCAACGAACAAUUACUGAGGAGCGAUCCUUCAUCGAUAAUUUUGAGGAAGAUGUUCUUUUCUAGAAGAAUUGAAUGGGUGGUUGUUGGGUGGCGUUUGGUGCUCCGGUGGUCUC